GUCUUUCUUAGCUUCUACGGCAAACUACAUAACACCACCCGAUUGCUGCUUUAAAAAAUGAACAAUAAAUUCAAUUUGCUAAUUUUGCUCCUUUUGUGCUUCGUUGCGUUCAUAACAGCUUUACCGCAGAGAGGUUGGCGCCCCUGUCCACUCGAUCAAGAGUUCACAAGAUGUGGCUCCGCCUGUCCACCAAGAUGUGAUGACCGAGGUGAGCCGAGGAUCUGUACACUUCAAUGUGUAGUUGGUUGUCAAUGCAGACCUGGCAAUGUGUUGAACAGCGCUGGGCGGUGUGUAGACCCAAGCAAAUGUUAGCUGAAUUAAAAGGUGAUCAAGGAGAUUGCAUAAAUCAUACGCGAUUGGGUUACUAAUUAUGUAGGAAAACGCAAAAAUUUUAUGGAUAUGCAGCUGAUAUUGAAUAAAACGUGACCGAAAAUAUUGCAAGUGAAUAUAAUUUCUUAAAUGGA